UAAGGAAUAUUGGUCAAUGGACGAAAGUCUGAACCAGCCAUGCCGCGUGGAGGAUGAAGGUCCUCUGGAUUGUAAACUUCUUUUAUCUGGGACGAAAAAAGGUCUUUCUAGAUCGUCUGACGGUACCAGAUGAAUAAGCACCGGCUAACUCCGUGCCAGCAGCCGCGGUAAUACGGAGGGUGCAAGCGUUAUCCGGAUUCACUGGGUUUAAAGGGUGCGUAGGUGGGUUGGUAAGUCAGUGGUGAAAUCUUCGAGCUUAACUCGGAAACUGCCAUUGAUACUAUCAGUCUUGAAUAUUGUGGAGGUUAGCGGAAUAUGUCACGUAGCGGUGAAAUGCUUAGAUAUGACAUAGAACACCAAUUGCGAAGGCAGCUGGCUACACAUAUAUUGACACUGAGGCACGAAAGCGUGGGGAUCAAAACAGGAUUAGAUACCCUGGUAGUCCACGCCCUAAACUAUGGAUACUCGACAUACGCGAUACACUGUGUGUGUCUGAGCGAAAAGCAUUAAGUAUCCCCACCUGGGGAAGUACAUCGCAAGAUUGAAACUC
rnacentral:rRNA from 1 species